rnacentral:rRNA from 1 species
CCAGACUCCUACGGGAGGCAGCAGUGGGGAAUAUUGGGCAAUGGGCGCAAGCCUGACCCAGCAACGCCGCGUGAAGGAAGAAGGCUUUCGGGUUGUAAACUUCUUUUCUCAGGGACGAAGCAAGUGACGGUACCUGAGGAAUAAGCCACGACUAACUACGUGCCAGCAGCCGCGGUAAUACGUAGGUGGCAAGCGUUGUCCGGAUUUACUGGGUGUAAAGGGCGUGCAGCCGGGAAGACAAGUCAGAUGUGAAAUCCCGCGGCUCAACCGCGGAACUGCAUUUGAAACCGUUUUUCUUGAGUACCGGAGAGGUCAUCGGAAUUCCUUGUGUAGCGGUGAAAUGCGUAGAUAUACGGAGGAACACCAGUGGCGAAGGCGGAUUGCUGGACAGUAGCUGACGCUGAGGCGCGAAAGCGUGGGGAGCAAACAGGAUUAGAUACCCGUGUACA